GGGGAUGUACAGGUUUCGACAGGGGUUUAGAAUUUAUAUAAGCGAGCCGUGUUUCUUUUUCCUGGGGUACACGUUAAAGAACUGGGAAACUAAAUAUAAACGCUAAAAAUAAUAACUUAGCUAUCGCAGCGUAAUUGCCGCGACCCACUCCUAGAUAGCCUUUCUCUAUUGCCGCGCUAGGACUGGUCAUUUCUGCAAUAGACGAAACUAAUGGGUGUCAUGACAUUAGGGGGUAUUUAUCGUGACUGGUUUGUUAUUUCGUUGGUUUAGAGACCUGGUAACAAAUAAGAUUUGAAUCUAAACUGCGCUCGGAGAAAGUAUUUAGGACAGGCUUUUGGACAUGGGUUCAAUUCCCAUCAUCUCCACCA
rnacentral:tmRNA from 1 species